UGUCGCGAUAAUUCUGCCGGUUUCCAUAACAAGAAACAUAAAGGAAUUAAAAGGGAAUCCUGUGAGAUGCAGGAGCUAUCCCCGUAGCUGUAAGUCCACUUUUAUGACUGGCUCUCUGAAGCCACUGCCCUUUUGGGCGGGAAGGCAGCCAGGAAAGGACAAGCCAGAAGACCUGCCGGCAAAUAAUAUUCGUA
rnacentral:ncRNA from 2 species